rnacentral:rRNA from 1 species
AGUGAACGCUGGCGGUAGGCCUAACACAUGCAAGUCGAACGGCAGCACAGGAGAGCUUGCUCUCUGGGUGGCGAGUGGCGGCCGGGUGAGGAAUACAUCGGAAUCUACUCUGUCGAGGGGGAUAACGUAGGGAAACUUACGCUAAUAUCCCUUACGACCUACGGGUGAAAGCAGGGGAUCUUCGGACCAUGCGCGAUUGAAGCAGCAGAUGUCGGAUUAGCUAGUUGGCGGGGUAAAGGCCCAACAAGGCGACGAUCCGUAGCUGGUCUGAGAGGAUGAUCAGCCACACUGGAACUGAGACACGGUCCAGACUCUUACGGGAGGCAGCAGUGGGGAAUAUUGGACAAUGGGCGCAAGCCUGAUCCAGCCAUACCGCGUGGGUGAAGAAGGCCUUCGGGUUGUAAAGCCCUUUUGUUGGGAAAGAAAUCCAGCUGGCUAAUACCCGGUUGGGAUGACGGUACCCAAAGAAUAAGCACCGGCUAACUACGUGCCAGCCGCCGCAGUAA